rnacentral:rRNA from 1 species
UACAGAGGGUGCAAGCGUUGUCCGGAAUUAUUGGGCGUAAAGAGCUCGUAGGCGGUCUGUUGCGUCGGCUGUGAAAACCCGAGGCUCAACCUCGGGCCUGCAGCCGAUACGGGCAGACUAGAGUUCGGCAGGGGAGACUGGAAUUCCUGGUGUAGCGGUGAAAUGCGCAGAUAUCAGGAGGAACACCGGUGGCGAAGGCGGGUCUCUGGGCCGAUACUGACGCUGAGGAGCGAAAGCGUGGGGAGCGAACAGG